UCCGGCCACCAACUCUCGAAGCCCGUCAGACCCUCAAACCAGCAACCACAGAUUCAAACCAGAUGGCUGCUCAACUCCAUCAAGCCAGCAAAUCUCCCUCAAGUAAACAUCCACAGAUGGCCGCCGGCGACCUUGCGCCGUCGCCGCGCGCGCCUCAAAUCAAAUGCUCAGUUAUACAACAUACUCCCUAUCCACCGAACCUCCAGGAUUCCACCGCCACCGUCCGUUCUUGGCAACAACCAGAGGAACCACCGCCCAAAAAAUAAAAUAGGAAAUCGAGCCCUCGUUCAAGGCCUUGCUGUCACAGCCCGUCAAUCUCGCCGCCUCCAUUCUUCUUUUCUCUAAUUGACCAGUGAAUUCCAGCGACAUCCCA
rnacentral:lncRNA from 1 species